rnacentral:rRNA from 1 species
UACGUAGGGGGCAAGCGUUGUCCGGAAUCAUUGGGCGUAAAGAGCGCGUAGGCGGCCCUGUAAGUCCGCUGUGAAAGCCCUGGGCUCAACUCAGGAAUUGCAUUGGAAACUGGCGGACUCAGAGUACCGGAGAGGGAAGCGGAAUUCCUGGUGUAGCGGUGAAAUGCGUAGAUACCAGGAGGAACACCGGUGGCGAAAGCGGUUUCCUGGCCGAGUACUGACGCUGAGGCACGAAAGCGUGGGGAGCGAACAGG